rnacentral:tRNA from 1 species
GCUUAAAAUAGCUUAAUUAUUAAAGCUUGAUAUUGAAGCUAUCACGAUGGCCCUUCGCCUUUAAGCA